rnacentral:tRNA from 1 species
GGGCCUGUAGCUCAGGGUUAGAGCAGACGACUCAUAAUCGUUUGGUCGUGGGUUCGAAACCCACCGGGCCCACCA